UCUCGGCUCCCGGCUCUCGGCUCCCGGCUCUCGGCUCUCGGCUCCCGGCUCUCGGCUCCCGGCUCGGCGCUGCGCUCCCAGCGCUCCCUGGCAACCCGCGAGUGCACGGGGGAGCUGCAGCUGCCGAUUCUGAGAAUCCUCGCUGGCGGUUUUCAGUCUCUGGGUGGGAGGAGGUGGAGGGCGGAAUAAGGGAAGAAGCUGGAAGACUGCUGCUGGAAGAGUGCUGCCUGAGCACUGGGGAACACACACACAGCCGGCGGCUUUAGUGAUCCGUGAGCCCCUUUGUGAAACUACACAGGAAAGUGUGAAACUACAGAGUAACAAACCCGUACACCCAGCAGCUACACUCCUGUCCUACUCACAAUCUGCCUGCCUCAUGUCCUCGAACGUGCUUCCUUUGCCACAGGCAUGCUCUGGAUUGUGAUGCUCUUAAUUUGGUGCAGUUUGUUAUUUACAAAAGAGCAUAGAAGCUAAGAAGUAACCAGAGGAUUUGAACAAUGAAGUGGAUAAUUAAAAUGGAUUAAUGAGGUGGAUAAAAUAAAGGGAUUGAGGCCAAAUGGA